rnacentral:rRNA from 1 species
UAAAAACUUAAAAUUUAAAAGACUUGACGGUGCUUCACACCAACCUAGAGGAGCCUGUCUAAUAACCGAUAACCCACGAUUAACCCAACCCACUCUGGCCACACAGUCUAUAUACCGCCGUCGCCAGCUUACCUCGUGAGAGAGACAAAGUGAGCUAAAUAGUACCACACUAACACGACAGGUCGAGGUGUAACUAAUGAGCGGGACAAAGAUGGGCUACAUUUCUCCAACUAGAAAACACGAACAGACCGCGAAAACGGAAACUGAAGGCGGAUUUAGUAGUAAGAUAAGAAUAAAAUACUUAACUGAACAAUGCAAUGAAGCGCGC